GUCGAACGGCAGCACAGCAGAGCUUGCUCUGUGGGUGGCGAGUGGCGGACGGGUGAGUAAUGCAUCGGGACCUACCUAGACGUGGGGGAUAACGUAGGGAAACUUACGCUAAUACCGCAUACGUCCUACGGGAGAAAGCGGGGGAUCUUCGGACCUCGCGCGGUUAGACGGACCGAUGUUCGAUUAGCUAGUUGGUAGGGUAAUGGCCUACCAAGGCGACGAUCGAUAGCUGGUCUGAGAGGAUGAUCAGCCACACUGGAACUGAGACACGGUCCAGACUCCUACGGGAGGCAGCAGUGGGGAAUAUUGGACAAUGGGCGCAAGCCUGAUCCAGCAAUGCCGCGUGUGUGAAGAAGGCCUUCGGGUUGUAAAGCACUUUUAUCAGGAACGAAACGCUGUCGAUUAAUACUCGGCGGAACUGACGGUACCUGAGGAAUAAGCACCGGCUAACUUCGUGCCAGCAGCCGCGGUAAUACGAAGGGUGCAAGCGUUAAUCGGAAUUACUGGGCGUAAAGCGUGCGUAGGCGGUUUGUUAAGUCUGUCGUGAAAUCCCCGGGCUCAACCUGGGAAUGGCGAUGGAUACUGGCAAGCUAGAGUGUGAUAGAGGAUGGUGGAAUUCCCGGUGUAGCGGUG
rnacentral:rRNA from 1 species